rnacentral:misc_RNA from 1 species
UACAGAGGCCUCGAGCGUUACCCGGUAUCACUGGGCGUAAAGGGUGUGUAGGUGGUUGUAUUAGUCUCUUGUUAAAUCCUUGGGCUCAACCCAAGAAUCGCAGGAGAAACGGUACAACUAGAGGAUGCGAGAGGUGUACGGAACUCAUGGUGUAGGGGUGAAAUCCGUUGAUAUCAUGGGGAACACCAAAAGCGAAGGCAGUACACUGGCGCAUUCCUGACACUGAGACACGAAAGCGUGGGUAGCGAACGGG